rnacentral:rRNA from 1 species
GGGGGGGGCAAGCGUUGUUCGGAAUUACUGGGCGUAAAGGGCUCGUAGGUGGCCAACUAAGUCAGACGUGAAAUCCCCAGGCUUAACCUGGGAACUGCGUCUGAUACUGGAUGGCUUGAAUUCGGGAGGGAUGCAGAAUUCCAGGUGUAGCGGUGAAAUGCGUAGAUAUCUGGAGGAAUACCGGUGGCGAAGGCGGCAUCCUGGACCGAGAUUGACACUGAGGAGCGAAAGCUAGGGGAGCAAACGGGAUUAGAUACCCCGGUAGUCCUAGCCCUAAACGAUGAAUGCUUGGUGUGACGGGUAUCGAUCCCUGUCGUGCCGAAGCUAACGCAUUAAGCAUUCCGCCUGGGGAGUACGGUCGCAAGGCUG